rnacentral:rRNA from 1 species
CUUAAAGGAAUUGACGGGGGCCCGCACAAGCGGAGGAGCAUGUGGUUUAAUUCGAUGAUACGCGAGGAACCUUACCUGGGCUCGAACGUAGGAGGACAGCUGCGGAAACGUGGUCUUCCCUCGGGACUUCCUACGAGGUGCUGCAUGGUUGUCGUCAGCUCGUGCCGCGAGGUGUCGGGUUAAGUCCCAUAACGAGCGCAACCCCUACCUUUAGUUGCCAUCAGGUAAUGCUGGGGACUCUAAAGGAACUGCCUACGCAAGUAGUGAGGAAGGUGGGGAUGACGUCAAAUCAGCACGGCCCUUACGUCCAGGGCUACACACGUGCUACAAUGGCCGGUACAGAGGGCAGCUACCUGGUGACAGGAUGCAAGUCUCCAAAGCCGGUCUCAGUUCGGAUCGAAGUCUGCAACCCGACUUCGUGAAGUUGGAUUCGCUAGUAAUCGCAUAUCAGCCAUGAUGCGGUGAAUACGUUCCCGGCCCUUGUACACACCGCCCGUCAAGCCAUGGAA